AUGCUCAUCAAAAGACACUCGGCAGCACAUAUACUAAAAUUGGAACGAUACAGAGAAGAUUAGCAUGGCCCCUGCGCAAGAAU
rnacentral:snRNA from 1 species